GUACCUAUGUUCCAAGACCCAAUCCUUAGUCUAUGGACGUCCGCCGCCCUCUUCCCACCCUUUCCUCCCGCCCUGCCCGAAGUGCCAUCCCCUGCUCCCUACUCACCCCCGCUACCACCCCCACCCCCUGAGGACAUGACCUUACGCUAUCAUCUCCCACCGCGGCCACUAUCCCACUAACCGAUAUGGGGUACAGUAGCACACGCACGCACUAUAGCAAAAAACGCAAAUGUAUCAAACUAGAUAACAACAGAAUAGAACACACUCUGAAUGCUAGCUAAAAUAAGUGAAAA
rnacentral:lncRNA from 1 species